CGGUAGAGGAGCAUCCUCGAGAGUGGCGAACGGGUGACUCCUAUAUCGGAACGUGCCCAGUCGUGGGGGAUAACGUAGCGAAAUCUACGCUAAUACCGCAUACGACCCGAGGGUGAAAGCGGGGGACUCGCAAGAGCCUCGCGCGAUUGGAGCGGCCGAUGGCAGAUUAGGUAGUUGGUGGGGUAAAGGCCCACCAAGCCUGCGAUCUGUAGCUGGUCUGAGAGGACGACCACCCACACUGGGACUGAGACACGGCCCACACUCCUACGGGAGGCAGCAGUGGGGAAUUUUGGACAAUGGGCGAAAGCCUGAUCCAGCCAUACCGCGUGCGGGAAGAAGGCCUUCGGGUUGUAAACCGCUUUUGUCAGGGAAGAAAUACUUCGGGCUAAUACCCUGGGGUGAUGACGGUACCUGAAGAAUAAGCACCGGCUAACUACGUGCCAGCAGCCGCGGUAAUACGUAGGGUGCAAGCGUUAAUCGGAAUUACUGGGUGUAAAGCGUGCGCAGGCGGUUCUAUAAUACAGAUGUGAAAUCCCCGGGCUCAACCUGGGAACUGCAUUUGUGACUGUAGAGCUAGAGUACGGUAG
rnacentral:rRNA from 1 species